UACGAGGGGUCCUAGCGUUGUUCGGAAUCAUUGGGCGUAAAGCGUGUGUAGGUGGCCAUUUAAGUCAGGUGUGAAAGCCCAGGGCUCAACCCUGGAAGUGCAUCUGAUACUGAGUGGCUUGAGUAUGGGAGAGGAUAGUAGAAUCCCUGGUGUAGUGGUGAAAUACGUAGAUAUCAGGGGGAACACCGGUGGCGAAGGCGGCUAUCUGGCCCUAUACUGACACUGAGACACGAAAGCGUGGGGAUCAAACAGG
rnacentral:rRNA from 1 species